GUCCGCGUGAGGAAGAGGACUGGAGGGUGUUUCGAUUAAUUGGCAUUGUUUGCCAGAGAGAUAUAAUAAUGGAUCAGGAGAAUAAAAUCGUCCCCGAGAGGGAGAGGAGCGAAUUCAAUUGGUAUUAUCUGCCACCUACAAGAGACAAUCAGAAGGAAACAGAGGGGAAUAAAAUCGUCGACCGCAAGCGGAAGAGGAGGGGCUUCGAUUGGUAUUAUUUACCACCUACUACUACUACUACUAGAGACGAUCACAAGCAAAUAAGAAUAAGAAGCGCAGCAGCAGCAGGAGAAGAAGAAGAAGAAGAGGGGAAGAAGAAGAAGGAAUAUUAUCGUCGCCGUUGGUCGGAGCUGCCCGGCCACAUCCUCGAACAGGUACUAGCCCGCCUGACUUGGCCGCGCGACCUCGUCUGUUUCGGCCGCGUCUGCCGCCCGUGGCGUUCCGUCCGAGAAGGCUUCCCGCCCCCUCCUCGGUCUGCCUGCCCGUGGCUCGUCUACCGCGGCGACAGCCGCACCAGCGGCAUCGCCGUCGGCGGCGGCGUCAGCGUCGACGCGAGCGCGGAGAAGUUCGUCUUCUACAGCCUGGCCGGCGGCGACGGCUGCGGGGUGCGAGGAGGCAUGGUCGUCGUCGAGCUGCCGGGCACUCGGGGCGCGCACAUCCGGGGCUGCUCUCACGGCUGGCUCCUUUUCGCCUACUCGGAGACCGCCGCCCCCCACUUCCUUCUGAACCCCGCGACCGACGCUCGCAUCAGGCUCCCCUUGUGGGUCGUCGGCGCAGGAGGCCGCCGUCGUCGCCGCUCGGCCGCCUCUCCCGCCGUCCUCUCCUCCUCGCCCGUCGACGGCCCGAGCUGCGUGGUCGCGUUCCUCGGCGACGGCCUUCUCGUCUUCUGCAGGAUCGGGGACCGCGUCUGGCAGGCCGUCAGCACCGGCGCGCCGUACAAGGCCAUGUACGAAAGGGACAGCAGCAGCAUUGUGGCGCACGACGGAAAGAUUUACUUUCUAACGCAGCAGCAGAGGAUGCUAGGCGUUUUCGACCCCAAUGCCGACGACCCGAAGGUGUCUCUUACCUGGCUGAUCGACGGGCCACCCCUCGGGUAUUUUUGGUCGAGCUGUUACCUCGUCGAGUCCUGCGGACAAGUCCUGCUGGUACUCCUAUCCGCGAUAACGACUAUGGCAGUUCUCAAGCUGGACCUGAGAAAUAGGGCCUGGGUGGACGUAACGGAAGAAGGAUUGAGCAAUCAAAUGACAUUCGUAGCGCACGGCUCUUCUUUAUCCGUCUGUGCUAACAGUUUAGCUGGUUCGGAAUGUAUGCCGGGCUAUGUCUACCUCUCUUCGCCGUUUGUCCAAUGCGAAGAACUUUUUGAGAAGAUGGAGAUGGGAGGGAAAGAAAUUUACCGGGUGCGCCCCAUAGGGGGGUCCAAGAUACUGGGUCUUCCUUUCACCAAAGCGUCCCACUGGUGUUGCAUAGAGAUCCUACAGACGAACAUGUUGUUCCAAUCGUCGAGGAGCUUCGGAGGCGCCUUUACCACCAGCUAGUGUUCUUUAGCAAGGGCAGGGUGGAAGGAAGGAGAACUUAACUAGCCAAAAUAAUGCAGAAGCUGGUGAGGCGGAUGGCUGCUAAUCUUGUGAAGUGCUGUCUCCUUUUGAGUUCCGUGCCCUGGAGGUUUGUUUAGAAGCUAUUUGCAGUUUCCUUGAUGCUCGAACCACAGAGCUGGAGACUGGGGCCUACCCAGCUUUAGAUGAACCAACCUCCAAGGUGAGAUUUCCUUUUGGUUUUGAUUAACAUAUAUUAUAGAAGUCACUUUUUCAUAAGACAAAUCUUAUAUCAACCUGCUUGCAUGUAGCAUUGUAAUAGUUUCUGGAUUAUCCAUGGAUAUUGUAGUCUGUAACAGGUUGGAUAGGAAACAUUGCACCGAUCUAAUAAUGGACAUGAUAUCAUGAUUCAUGUAGAAGAUCUAACUAGAGGUGGAUAUUCACUGGAGCUGCAAUAAUAUUGUUUUUUUUUUUUAUUUUUUAUUUUUUAUGUGUGAUAAUAUAAUAUCGAUUAUUUUUAUGUGUGAGAUACUUGUAAAACUCAUGAGCUCACACUUUCUUAUUCUUCACUUCUACGUUUAUGAUUAUUAGCGGUUGCUCCUUGUCAUUGCCCCCCUUUAACACUUGGUUUGAUGGAGAAUCGUGAACAAGACAUAGCUGAACAGAAAAAUAAUAGA